AGAGAUGAGAGGAAGGAAAGGAGAUAAGGAGAGGAGAUGAGGAGAUGAAACAAGAAGAGGAAAGAGAGGAGGAAAUUAGGAAGCUACUGUAGAAUGUUGAGAUGAUAGAGAGGAGGGGAAGCUAUUGUACUGUUAACAUGAUGGAGAGGAGGAGAUGAAGGAGAAGAGGGUGGAAGAAAAGAUGAGGAUAGGGGCGAUGAAAGAGAGGAAGGGUGGAGAGGAGGAAGGCUUUGUAGUUGAUUGAAAUGUGGAGAGGAGAUAAAGCCACUCUAGACUAUGGAGAUCGUAGACAGGAAGCCACUGUAGGCUAUGGAGAUCGUAGACAGGAAGCCACUGUAGACUAUGGAGAUAGUAGACAGGAAGCCACUCUAGACUAUGGAGACACACCCUCUGACUGUAACCUACCUUAGCCCUUACAGGGUAAUGAUGGCCUGGCUCGGCUGCUGCCACUUCCUGUCCGCCUCCAUCGAAGAACUCCGACUGGAUGCCCUUAUUACUCUGGAUUUACUCCGUAAUCAAACACGAUGAAUAACUGAUAAAUGAAUUAAGCAACCAAUCAAUAAAUCAACGUGCAAACUAG